UACAGAGGUCCCAAGCGUUGUUCGGAUUCACUGGGCGUAAAGGGUGCGUAGGUGGUGAGGUAAGUCGGAUGUGAAAUCUCCGGGCUUAACCCGGAAAGGUCAGCCGAUACUGCGGGGCUAGAGUGCAGAAGGGGCAACUGGAAUUCUCGGUGUAGCGGUGAAAUGCGUAGAUAUCGAGAGGAACACCUGCGGCGAAGGCGGGUUGCUGGGCUGACACUGACGCUGAGGCGCGAAAGCUAGGGGAGCGAACGGG
rnacentral:rRNA from 1 species